rnacentral:rRNA from 1 species
AGGACAAACGCUGGCGGCGUGCCUAAGACAUGCAAGUCGAACGGAAGGCUUCGGCCUUGAGUGGCGGACGGGUGAGGAGCGCGUGGAGAACCUGCCCCGGGGUGGGGGAUAACAGUCGGAAACGAUUGCUAAGACCGCAUACGACCAUUCGUUGCAGGAUGAAUGGGGAAAGCAGCGAUGUGCCCUGGGAGGGCUCCGCGUCGGAUUAGCUAGUUGGUGGGGUAACGCCUACCAAGGCUGCGAUCCGUAGCUGGUCUGAGAGGACGGCCAGCCACACUGGGACUGAGACACGGCCCAGACUCCUACGGGAGGCAGCAGUUAGGGAAUUUUGUCAAUGGGCGAAAGCCUGAACGAGUGACGCCGCGUGCGGGAUGACGCCUUUCGGGUGUAAACCGCUUUUCCCAAGGACGAGGAUGGACGGUACUUGGGGAAUAAGUCUCGGCUAACGUACGCGCCAGCAGCCGC